rnacentral:rRNA from 1 species
GGAUAACUUACCCUUAGGACUGGGAUAACUCUGGGAAACUGGGGAUAAUACUGGAUAUUUGGCUAUGCCUGGAAUGGUUUGCCUUUGAAAUGUUUUCUUUUUCGCCUAAGGAUAGAUCUGCGGCUGAUUAGGUCGUUGGUGGGGUAAUGGCCCACCAAGCCGAUGAUCGGUACGGGUUGCGAGAGCAAGAGCCCGGAGAUGGAACCUGAGACAAGGUUCCAGGCCCUACGGGGUGCAGCAGGCGCGAAACCUCCGCAAUGUACGAAAGUGCGACGGGGGGAUCCCAAGUGUUAUGCUUUUUUUGUAUAACUUUUCAUUAGUGUAAAAAGCUUUUAGAAUAAGAGCUGGGCAAGACCGGUGCCAGCCGCCGCGGUAACACCGGCAGCUCGAGUGGUAGCUGUUUUUAUUGGGCCUAAAGCGUUCGUAGCCGGUUUGAUAAGUCUUUGGUGAAAGCUUGUAGCUUAACUAUAAGAAUUGCUGGAGAUACUAUUAGACUUGAAGUCGGGAGAGGUUAGAGGUACUACCGGGGUAGGGGUGAAAUCCUAUAAUCCUGGGAGGACCACCUGUGGCGAAGGCGUCUAACUGGAACGAUCUUGACGGUGAGUAACGAAAGCCAGGGGCGCGAACCGGAUUAGAUACCCGGGUAGUCCUGGCCGUAAACGAUGUAGACUUGGUGUUGGAAUGGCUUUGGGUUGUUCCGGUGCCGAAGGGAAGCUGUUAAGUCUACCGCCUGGGAAGUACGGUCGCAAGACUGAGACUUAA